rfam:Apaloderma vittatum contig62625, whole genome shotgun sequence.
GCCAGUCUUGUUCAGUUGGUAGAACGUGAGACUUUUAAUCUCAAGGUCGCGGGGUUCGAGCCCCGCGUUGGGCG